rnacentral:tRNA from 1 species
AUUAUAUUAGUUUAUUUAAAAUUUUAUUUUGUGAUAAUAAAGAUCUUUUUAGAUAUAAUA